AAAAAACAUUAAAAAUUGAAUCAGAACAUCAAAAUUAGCCGGGUAGGUCACUGUCAAUUUUUUGCCGACAUGGCAGUGAUGAUAUGGCACUUCCUGCUGACAUAGUAAUGAGUGGCUGAGGAUGUGGCAUCUUGCUGGUGAUGAUGUCAGCGUGAUGCAAGGAAAAUCUAGUGAAAAUGAGCUCACAGUAACAACGUCAGCGUGUCUGCCUUACCUGAUGGGUUUGUGACUUGAUCUUGCAGCUGGAUUGCCGGAUCUGGUUUCCAACGGCAAGGGAUGGCAGUUUGGUGGCUGAAGAUGGGUAGCGGAGGGUCAGAUGCUGAAAAUCUUGCGGGUCACGAGUUGGGUCAAGAUCUGACUCAAUUGGAUCUUGAGUUCUAGCCAACUUUAGGUGAUCAAAAGAGGGUCUUUGGACUCACCACAGGUUGGCGUGUCUUUCAGCAGUGGUGCGGGGCUGUUCCGAUGGUUGGACGAUGGUGGUUCUGUGAAAGGGGAGGCGGCAGUGCUAUGACUUUGUUUUCUUUCGAAGACCGUUUCUUUGAGUUUUACUUUUUUUGUUUUAAAAAAAAGAGUAAAACUAUGAAUUUUGAAAAAGGCUAAAACACGGCAAGGUUUGAAUAGGAUGAUUAGGAAAUUUUGAAUUUAGACUCUAACACUAAAUUGUUGUAGAACAAGAAGGAAUAAAGAACAAAUCAAUGACUAAUCUUUGGAAAAAAGAAUUAAUUCUCAAUAAUUUUAU
rnacentral:misc_RNA from 1 species